ACAGCUCAAAUUUGAAAGCUGGCUCUUUUAGGGUCCGCGUUGUAAUUUGUAGAAGAUGCUUCGGGUGUGGCCCCGGUCUAAGUUCCUUGGAACAGGACGUCAUAGAGGGUGAGAAUCCCGUAUGUGACUGGGUGCUUUCGCUCAUGUGAAGCUCUUUCGACGAGUCGAGUUGUUUGGGAAUGCAGCUCAAAAUGGGUGGUAAAUUUCAUCUAAAGCUAAAUAUUGGCCAGAGACCGAUA
rnacentral:rRNA from 1 species